GAUGAACGCUGGCGGCGUGCCUAAUACAUGCAAGUCGAGCGAACAGACGAGGAGCUUGCUCCUCUGACGUUAGCGGCGGACGGGUGAGUAACACGUGGAUAACCUACCUAUAAGACUGGGAUAACUUCGGGAAACCGGAGCUAAUACCGGAUAAUAUAUUGAACCGCAUGGUUCAAUAGUGAAAGACGGUUUUGCUGUCACUUAUAGAUGGAUCCGCGCCGCAUUAGCUAGUUGGUAAGGUAACGGCUUACCAAGGCAACGAUGCGUAGCCGACCUGAGAGGGUGAUCGGCCACACGGGAACUGAGACACGGUCCAGACUCCUACGGGAGGCAGCAGUAGGGAAUCUUCCGCAAUGGGCGAAAGCCUGACGGAGCACCGCCGCGUGAGUGAUGAAGGUCUUCGGCUCGGAAAACUCUGUUAUUAGGGAAGAACAAAUGUGUAAGUAACUAUGCACGUAUUGACGGUACCUGAUCAGAAAGCCACGGCUAACUACGUG
rnacentral:rRNA from 1 species